rnacentral:rRNA from 1 species
CCGGAACUGUCAAGCUAGAGUGCAGGAGAGGAAGGUAGAAUUUCCCGGUGUAGCGGUGAAAUGCGUAGAGAUCGGGAGGAAUACCAGUGGCGAAGGGCGGCCUUCUGGACUGACACUGACACUGAGGUGCGAAAGCGUGGGUAGCAAACAGGAUUAGAUACCCUGGUAGUCCACGCCGUAAAACGAUGUCGACCAGCCGUUGGGUGCCUAGCGCACUUUUGUGGCGAAGUUAACGCGAUAAGUCGACCGCCUGGGGAGUACGGCCGCAAGGUUAAAACUCAAAUGAAUUGACGGGGGCCCGCACAAGCGGUGGAGCAUGUGGUUUAAUUCGAUGCAACGCGAAGAACCUUACCUACUCUUGACAUCCUGCGAAUUUGGUAGAGAUACCUUAGUGCCUUCGGGAACGCAGAGACAGGUGCUGCAUGGCUGUCGUCAGCUCGUGUUGUGAAAUGUUGGGUUAAGUCCCGUAACGAGCGCAACCCUUGUCCUUAUUUGCCAGCGCGUAAUGGCGGGAACUCUAAGGAGACUGCCGGUGACAAACCGGAGGAAGGUGGGGACGACGUCAAGUCAUCAUGGCCCUUACGAGUAGGGCUACACACGUGCUACAAUGGUCGGUACAAAGGGUUGCCAACUCGCGAGAGUGAGCCAAUCCCGAAAAGCCGAUCUCAGUCCGGAUCGGAGUCUGCAACUCGACUCCGUGAAGUCGGAAUCGCUAGUAAUCGUGGAUCAGAAUGCCACGGUGAAUACGUUCCCGGGCCUUGUAC